rnacentral:rRNA from 1 species
CGUGGCGGCGUGCCUAACACAUGCAAGUCGUACGAGAAAGCCGGCUUCGGCUGGUGAGUAAAGUGGCGCACGGGUGAGUAACGCGUGGAUAAUCUGCCCUUAAGUGUGGAAUAACGUACCGAAAGGUGCGCUAAUACCGCAUAAUGCCUGGCAACACAAGUUGUCCGGCCAAAGAAGGCCUCUGUUUACAAGCUUUCGCUUCAGGAUGAGUCCGCGUACCAUUAGCUUGUUGGUGGGGUAAUGGCCUACCAAGGCUGCGAUGGUUAGCUGGUCUGAGAGGAUGGCCAGCCACACUGGAACUGAGACACGGUCCAGACUCCUACGGGAGGCAGCAGUGAGGAAUCUUGCGCAAUGGGGGAAACCCUGACGCAGCAACGCCGCGUGAGUGAGGAAGGCCUUCGGGUCGUAAAGCUCUGUCAGAUGGGAAGAAAUGGAUGGGGGCUAAUAUCGCCCAUCCUUGACGGUACCAUCAGAGGAAGCACCGGCUAACUCCGUG